rnacentral:rRNA from 1 species
AUUGAACGCUGGCGGCAGGCCUAACACAUGCAAGUCGAGCGAGCGGCGGACGGGUGAGUAAUGUAUGGGGACUGCCCGAUAGAGGGGGAUAAUACUGGAUACGGUCGCUAACACCGCACAUUAUCGGAUUAUCCAUAUGGGAUUAGCUAGUAGGUGAGGUAAUGGCUCACCUAGGCGACAAUCCCUAGCUGGUCUGAGAGGAUGAUCAGCCACACUGGGACUGAGACACGGCCCAGACUCCUACGGGAGGCAGCAGUGGGGAAUAUUGGACAAUGGGGGAAACCCUGAUGCAGCCAUGCCGCGUGUAUGAAGAAGGCCUUCGGGUUGUAAAGUACUUUUAGCGGGAGGCGUUUCUGCAGAAGAAGCACCGGCUAACUACGUGCCAGCCGCCGCGGUAAUAC